rnacentral:rRNA from 1 species
GACGAACGCCGGCGGCGCGCUUAACAUAUGCUAGUCGAACGGAAAGGCCCUGCUUUUGUGGGGUGCUCGCGUGGAGAACGGGUGAGUAACACGUGAGUCACCUGACCUCGACUUUGGACUAACUUAAGGAAACUGGGUCUAAUACCGGAUAGGAGCUCCUGCUGCCUGGUGGGGGUAGGAACGAUUCGGCGGUUGGGGAUGGACUCGCGGCUUAUCAGCUCGUUCGUGGGGUAGUGGCUUACCAAGGCUUUGCCGGGUUGCCGGCCUGAGAUGGUGACCGGCCACAUUAUUACAGAGAUACCGCCCAGACUCCUACUGGAUGCAGCAGUAAGGAAUAUUGAACAAUGGGCGGAAGCCUGAUGCACCAACGCCGCGUGCGGGAUGACGGCCGUCGGGUUGUAGACCGCUUUCGCCUGUUACGAAGCGUGAGUGGCGUUAAUGAGUAGAGAAGGACCGGCUAACUACGUG